UACAGAGGGUGCAAGCGUUAAUCGGAUUUACUGGGCGUAAAGGGCGCGUAGGUGGUUAUGUAAGUGAGAUGUGAAAGCCCCGGGCUCAACCUGGGAACUGCAUCUUAUACUGCAUAGCUGGAGUGAAGUAGAGGGUAGUGGAAUUUCCGGUGUAGCGGUGAAAUGCGUAGAUAUCGGAAGGAACACCAGUGGCGAAGGCGGCUACCUGGACUUACACUGACACUGAGGCGCGAAAGCGUGGGUAGCAAACAGG
rnacentral:rRNA from 1 species